UACGUAGGGCGCAAGCGUUGUCCGGAAUUAUUGGGCGUAAAGAGCUCGUAGGCGGUCCGUCGCGUCUGCCGUGAAAACCCGAGGCUUAACCUCGGGCCUGCGGUGGAUACGGGCGGACUAGAGGUAGGUAGGGGAGAAUGGAAUUCCCGGUGUAGCGGUGAAAUGCGCAGAUAUCAGGAGGAACACCGGUGGCGAAGGCGGGUCUCUGGGCCGAUACUGACGCUGAGGAGCGAAAGUGUGGGGAGCGAACAGG
rnacentral:rRNA from 1 species